AGUCAGGGGGCCAGCAAUGGGUAACCGGCGAACGGGUGCGUAACACGUGAGCAACCUACCGAAUUGUGGGGGAUAGCCGGCCCAACGGCCGGGUAAUACCGCAUACGAUCGAGACGAGGCAUUUCGACUCGAUGAAAUCUACGGAGCAAUUCGAGGGGCUCGCGGCCUAUCAGCUAGUUGGUGAGGUAACGGCUCACCAAGGCGACGACGGGUAGCUGGUCUGAGAGGAUGGCCAGCCACAUUGGGACUGAGAUACGGCCCAGACUCCUACGGGAGGCAGCAGUGGGGAAUCUUGCGCAAUGGCCUAACGGCUGACGCAGCGACGCCGCGUGAGGGAUGACGCUCUUCGGAGUGUAAACCUCUUUUGCCCGGGACGAAUUGCCAACUUCAGUUGGCUUGACGGUACCGGGUGAAUAAGCACCGGCUAACUCCGUGCCAGCAGCCGCGGUAAUACGGGGGGUGCGAGCGUUGUCCGGAAUCACUGGGCGUAAAGGGCGCGUAGGUGGUCUGAUAAGGGUGUGGUGAAAGCCCGGGGCUCAACCCCGGGUCGGCCGUGCCGACUGUUAGACUAGAGUGCUGUAGGGGCAGGCGGAAUUCCGGGUGUAGCGGUGGAAUGCGUAGAGAUCCGGAGGAAGACCGGUGGCGAAGGCGGCCUGCUGGGCAGUUACUGACACUGAGGCGCGACAGCGUGGGGAGCAAACAGGAUUAGAUACCCUGGUAGUCCACGCCGUAAACGAUGGG
rnacentral:rRNA from 1 species